rnacentral:tRNA from 1 species
GGUGGCUCAGUGGUAGAGUGCUUGUCUCACAUACAUGAGGCCUUGGGUUCGAAUCCUCAGCACCA